AACCAGCCAUGCCGCGUGCAGGAAGACGGCUCUAUGAGUUGUAAACUGCUUUUAUACAGGGAUAAUUGUAGCCACGUGUGAGUUGCUUGCAGGUACUGUAUGAAUAAGGAUCGGCUAACUCCGUGCCAGCAGCCGCGGUAAUACGGAGGAUCCAAGCGUUAUCCGGAUUUAUUGGGUUUAAAGGGUGCGUAGGCGGCACAGUAAGUUAGCGGUGAAAUCGAGGGGCUCAACCCUUCAAUUGCCGUUAAAACUGCUGAGCUAGAGAGUAGAUGCGGUAGGCGGAAUGUGUGGUGUAGCGGUGAAAUGCUUAGAGAUCACACAGAACACCGAUUGCGAAGGCAGCUUACCAAUCUAUAUCUGACGUUGAGGCACGAAAGCGUGGGUAGCAAACAGGAUUAGAUACCCUGGUAGUCCACGCAGUAAACGAUGAUAGCUCGUUGUCGGCGAUACACAGUCGGUGACUUAGCGAAAGCGUUAAGCUAUCCACCUGGGGAGUACGUUCGCAAGAAUGAAACUCAAAGGAAUUGACGGGGGCCCGCACAAGCGGAGGAACAUGUGGUUUAAUUCGAUGAUACGCGAGGAACCUUACCCGGGCUUGAAAGUUAUUGACAGGAGUGGAAACACUCUUUCCCUUCGGGGCAAGAAACUAGGUGCUGCAUGGUUGUCGUCAGCUCGUGCCGUGAGGUGUCGGAUUAAGUUCCAUAACGAGCGCAACCCUUGCCGUUAGUUGCCAUCAGGUCAUGCUGGGCACUCUAACGGGACUGCCGGUGUAAACCGAGAGGAAGGUGGGGAUGACGUCAAAUCAGCACGGCCCUUACGUCCGGGGCGACACACGUGUUACAAUGGUCGGUACAGAGGGCAGCUACCCAGCGAUGGGAUGCGAAUCUCGAAAGCCGAUCUCAGUUCGGAUCGGAGGCUGAAACUCGCCUCCGUGAAGUUGGAUUCGCUAGUAAUCGCGCAUCA
rnacentral:rRNA from 1 species